GACGAACGCUGGCGGCGUGCUUAACACAUGCAAGUCGAACGAAGUGGCGAACGGGUGAGUAACGCGUAAUCAACCUGCCCUUCAGAGGGGGACAACAGUUGGAAACGACUGCUAAUACCGAAUACUGAAGGAGGGGCUUGCGUCUGAUUAGCUAGUUGGAGGGGUAACGGCCCCCCAAGGCGAUGAUAAGUAGCCGGUCUGGGAGGAUGAACUGCCACAGUGGGACUGAGACACGGCCCAGAUGCCUACGGGAGGCAGCAGUGGGGAAUCUUCCGCAAUGGACGAAAGUCUGACGGAGCAACGCCGCGUGAGUGAUGACGGCCUUCGGGUUGUAAAGCUCUGUUAAUCGGGACGCGGUACCGGAAUAGAAAGCCACGGCUAACUACGUGCCAGCAGCCGCGGUAAUAC
rnacentral:rRNA from 1 species